UUGAUCCUGGCUCAGAAUCAACGCUGGCGGCGUGCCUAACACAUGCAAGUCGAGCGAGAAAGUGGGGGCAACCCCAUGAGUACAGCGGCGACCGGGUGAUUAACACGUGACUAACCUACCCUUGAGUGGGGAAUAACUCCGGGAAACCGUAGCUAAUACCGCAUAACACCGCAAGGUCAAAGGAGCAAUUCGCUUAAGGUGGGGGUCGCGGUUGAUUAGCUAGUUGGUGGGGUAAUGGCCCACCAAGGCUAUGAUCAAUAGCCGGCCUGAGAGGGCGCACGGCCACACUGGAACUGAAAUACGGUCCAGACUCCUACGGGAGGCAGCAGUGGGGAAUUUUGCGCAAUGGUGGAAACCCUGACGCAGCAACGCCGCGUGAAGGAUGAAGGUCUUUGGAUUUUAAACUUCUUUCGUCCGGGACGAUAAUGACGGUACCGGAAGAAGAAGCCUCGGCUAACUUCGUGCCAGCAGCCGCGGUAAUU
rnacentral:rRNA from 1 species